GUGGCCACUGGUAAGGUCUCACCUCCUUCCCCUUCGUCGUCCUUAUCCCUCCUUGUUUUCUUUCUUCCUUGCAAUUUCUCUCUCCCUUAAUGUGUUGCCUUCUUGUAGCCACCACCGAGGACCAUCAGCCACCUUCGUCGUUCCCCUGCACGCUGCGCCGCACCACCCGUUGCUGCUGCCCAGUCGGCCUCCAUCCUUCUCCUCCACACACGCAAGCAACUUUGCCCUCUCUUCUGUGUUUCUUGCUCGAACACGCAACCACCAUUGCCGACCACCGCGUCGCCCAGCCCUGCCGCCGCCAGGCCCGCUGUCGUGUGUUAUUUCCCGCCGGCCAGCACUUCCUCUUCCUCUCUCUUUGGCGGAGAAUUCUCUUUAGGCGACUUCUGAAAGUGUUAAAGUGGCCUAUUAGUUUGUUUACACAAGUCUCUAAGGAUCAAUAAGCGUUGCCCAUCUACAGGUUCGAAGAUGAUGCAUCAUUGGGAUCGGGAUUAGAGAGCUUGUAGUUCUAUUUGUCUAAUUAAGUGAUUUAAUUUGUUAACUUGGAUUUGAAAUUUGUCGUACUAUUUAUAUUUCCUUAUUUUCGUUUAUUGGUUUUGGGAUUAAACCUGUAAUCAAUUACCUAUAAACCUCAAAUUAGUUUUAUGUUUUCCGCUGCAAAAUUCUGAAUAAGCCGUUACGUUUUCACACGGGCGAUAAUGCCUUGAUAAUUCUCUAUAUUUUAUAUUAAAAGGUUAUUUUAGAAAAGAGAG